rnacentral:rRNA from 1 species
GAUGAACGCUGGCGGCGUGCCUAAUACAUGCAAGUCGAGCGAACAGACGAGGAGCUUGCUCCUCUGACGUUAGCGGCGGACGGGUGAGUAACACGUGGAUAACCUACCUAUAAGACUGGGAUAACUUCGGGAAACCGGAGCUAAUACCGGAUAAUAUAUUGAACCGCAUGGUUCAAUAGUGAAAGACGGUUUUGCUGUCACUUAUAGAUGGAUCCGCGCCGCAUUAGCUAGUUGGUAAGGUAACGGCUUACCAAGGCGACGAUGCGUAGCCGACCUGAGAGGGUGAUCGGCCACCCUGGCACUGGGACACGGUCCAGGCUCCUACGGGAGGCAGCAGUAGGGAAUCUUCCGCAAUGGGCGAAAGCCUGACGGAGCAACGCCGCGUGAGUGAUGAAGGUCUUCGGAUCGUAAAACUCUGUUAUUAGGGAAGAACAAAUGUGUAAGUAACUAUGCACGUCUUGACGGUACCUAAUCAGAAAGCCACGGCUAACUACGUG